rnacentral:rRNA from 1 species
GACGAACGCUGGCGGCGUGCUUAACACAUGCAAGUCGAACGGAAAGGCCCUGCUCUUGUGGGGUUCUCGAGUGGCGAACGGGUGAGUAACACGUGAGUAACCUGCCCUUGACUUUGUGAUAACUUCAGGAAACUGGGGCUAUUACCGCAUAUGAGCUUCUGCUGCAUGGUGGUGGUUGGAAAGUUUCGGCGGUUGGGGAUGGACUCGCGGCUUAUCCGCUUGUUUGUGGGGUAGUGGCUUACCAAGGCUUUGACGGGUAGCCGGCCUGAGAGGGUGACCGGCCACAUUGGGACUGAGAUACGGCCCAGACUCCUACGGGAGGCAGCAGUGGGGAAUAUUGCACAAUGGGCGGAAGCCUGAUGCAGCAACGCCGCGUGCGGGAUGACGGCCUUCGGGUUGUAAACCGCUUUCGCCUGUGACGAAGCGUGAGUGACGGUAAUGGGUAAAGAAGCACCGGCUAACUACGUG